rnacentral:rRNA from 1 species
UGUGACAAGCUACUAAGGGCAAUCGGUGGAUGUCUAGGCACCAAGAGCCGAUGAAGGACGUAGGAGCCUGCGAUAAGCCCCGGGGAGUUGGCAACCAAGCUGUGAUCCGGGGGUGUCCGAAUGGGGAAACCCAGCUGGCACUCUAAAGCCAGUUACCAGUGCCUGAACACAUAGGGUUCUGGAGGGAACGCGGGGAAGUGAAACAUCUCAGUACCCGCAGGAAGAGAAAACAAUAGUGAUUCCGUGAGUAGUGGCGAGCGAAAGCGGAUGAGGCUAAACCAUGUGCGUGUGAUAGCCGGCGUGUGUUGCGUACAUGGGGUUGUGGGAGCAUUCAGGCCUCAAUGCCGUGGGGUCGGGGAGUUAUAAAUCAUCGUUGAAGUCGAAUUUUCUGGAAAGUUGAGCCGUAGUGGGUAAUAGCCCCGUAGGCGUAAGACGAUGACUUCCGAGUGUUUUCCCAAGUAGCACGGGACUCUUGAAAUCCCGUGUGAAUCUGGCGGGACCACCCGCUAAGCCUAAAUACUUCUUGGUGACCGAUAGCGGACUAGUACCGUGAGGGAAAGAUGAAAAGUACCCCGGGAGGGGAGUGAAAUAGUACCUGAAACCGGUUGCCUACAAUCCGUCGGAGCGCUCACCUUGUGUGGGUGUGACGGCGUGCCUUUUGAAGAAUGAGCCUGCGAGUUAGUGGUAUGUGGCGAGGUUAACCCGUGUGGGGUAGCCGUAGCGAAAGCGAGUCUGAACAGGGCGAAAUAGUCGCAUGCUCUAGACCCGAAGCGGAGUGAUCUAUCCAUGGGCAGGUUGAAGCGCGGGUAAGACCGCGUGGAGGACCGAACCCACCAGGGUUGAAAACCUGGGGGAUGACCUGUGGAUAGGGGUGAAAGGCCAAUCAAACUCCGUGAUAGCUGGUUCUCCCCGAAAUGCAUAUAGGUGCAGCGUCGCGUGUUUCUUACCGGAGGUAGAGCACUGGAUGGUCUAGGGGGCUUACCGGCUUACCGAAAUCAGCCAAACUCCGAAUGCCGGUAAGUGAGAGCGCGGCAGUGAGACUGCGGGGGAUAAGCUCCGUAGUCGAGAGGGAAACAGCCCAGAUCACCAGCUAAGGCCCCUAAGCGAUUGCUAAGUGGAAAAGGAUGUGGAGUUGCCCAGACAACCAGGAGGUUGGCUUAGAAGCAGCCACCCUUGAAAGAGUGCGUAAUAGCUCACUGGUCAAGUGAUUCCGCGCCGACAAUGUAGCGGGGCUCAAGCAAUCCGCCGAAGCUGUGGCAUUCACAUUUGUACCCGGCGACACUUUCGGGUGUGGUCCAGGUGUGUGGAUGGGUAGGGGAGCGUCGUGCAGCGUGUGAAGCAGCAGAGUGAUCUAGUUGUGGAUGCUGCACGAGUGAGAAUGCAGGCAUGAGUAGCGAAUGACGGGUGAGAAACCCGUCCGCCGAAUGAUCAAGGGUUCCAGGGUCAAGCUAAUCUGCCCUGGGUAAGUCGGGACCUAAGGCGAGGCCGACAGGCGUAGUCGAUGGACAACGGGUUGAUAUUCCCGUACCGGCAUUAACACGACCCGACCGAACCUGGUGAUGCUAAGGGACGGAAGCUGCAAGGCCUUCGGGCUGCGUGGUGGAUGUUUCGACCCGAGCUGGUAUUAGGUGCACUAAGGAGUGACGCAGGAGGGUAGUCCAACCGCGGCGAUGGUAGGCGCAAGCUGAUCCGCGGGCAAGGUGGUAGGGCGAGGCAUAGGCAAAUCCGUGUCUCAUAUAGCCUGAGAGCCGAGGCGGACCCGUUCAGGGGAAGUGGAUGAUCCCAUGCUGCCGAGAAAAACUUCGUAGUGAGUGUUAGAGCCGCCCGUACCCCAAACCGACACAGGUGAUCAGGUAGAGAAUACCAAGGCGAUCGAGUGAACCAUGGUUAAGGAACUCGGCAAAAUGCCCCCGUAACUUCGGGAGAAGGGGGGCCUGAUGCGUUACACGGCUUGCCCGUGGAAGCGUUGAUGGCCGCAGAGACCAGGCCCAAGCGACUGUUUACUAAAAACACAGGUCCGUGCGAAGAAGUAAUUCGAUGUAUACGGACUGACGCCUGCCCGGUGCUGGAACGUUAAGGGGACAGGUUAGCUGGUUUAGGCCGGCGAAGCUUUGAACUUAAGCGCCAGUAAACGGCGGUGGUAACUAUAACCAUCCUAAGGUAGCGAAAUUCCUUGUCGGGUAAGUUCCGACCUGCACGAAUGGCGUAACGACUUGGGCGCUGUCUCAACCAUGGACUCGGCGAAAUUGCAUUACGAGUAAAGAUGCUCGUUACGCGCAGCAGGACGGAAAGACCCCGGGACCUUUACUACAACUUGGUAUUGGUGGUCGGUACAACUUGUGUAGGAUAGGUGGGAGACUGUGAAGCCCGGACGCCAGUUCGGGUGGAGUCAUCGUUGAAAUACCACUCUGGUUGUUCUGGCUGUCUAACUUCGGUCCAUUAUCUGGAUCAGGGAC